rnacentral:rRNA from 1 species
GAUGAACGCUGGCGGCGUGCCUAAUACAUGCAAGUCGAACGGGGAGUAGCAAUACUCUUAGUGGCGAACGGGUGAGUAACGCGUUGGUACCUGCCCCGAAGCGGGGGAUAACGGACCGAAAGGUCCGCUAAUACCCCAUGUGCUCGGUAACGAGUAAAGGUGAAAACCACUUUGGGAGGGGCCUGCGUCCCACCAGCUAGUUGGUAAGGUAACGGCUUACCAAGGCGAUGACGGGUAGGGGACCUGAGAGGGUGGCCCCCCACAAUGGAACUGAAACACGGUCCAUACACCUACGGGUGGCAGCAGUAGGGAAUAUUGGUAAUGGGCGCAAGCCUGAACCAGCAACGCCGCGUGUGCGAUGACGGCCUUCGGGUUGUAAAGCACUUUUGACUGGGACGAGGAAGGACGGUACCGGUCGAAUCAGCCUCGGCUAACUACGUG